rnacentral:rRNA from 1 species
AGAGAGAGACAUGCGCGCAUAUCAAUAAGCGGAGGAAAAGAAACUAACAAGGAUUCCCUUAGUAACGGCGAGUGAAGCGGGAAGAGCUCAAAUUUGAAAUCUUCAAGGUUCUACCUUGACGAAUUGUAGUUUAUAGAAGUGUUUUCUGUUAGUGGAGUGGCAAAAGUUCUUUGGAAUAGGACAUCAUAGAGGGUGAGAAUCCCGUAUUUGGUCAUUCCUCCUAGCGUUGUGAUACACUUUCAACGAGUCGGAUUGUUUGGGAAUGCAGUCCAAAAUGGGUGGUAAAUUUCAUCUAAAGCUAAAUAUUGGCGAGAGACCGAUAGCGAACAAGUACCGUGAGGGAAAGAUGAAAAGAACUUUGAAAAGAGAGUUAAACAGUACGUGAAAUUGUCAAAAGGGAAGCGUUUGACACCAGUGUUGUUUUUCCGAAAAUCAAUUACGAAUGUUUUAUUUUUGAGGAGUUAUGACUUCAUCGGCUUGCUCCUUUCUUUAUGAAACUUUCUUAAUGCACUUUUCGGUUAACAAGUCAACAUCAAUUUCUUUUGUUGUAAAAGGGUAUGAGGAAGGUGGCUUUCUUUUCGGAGAAAGUGUUUAUAGCCUUGUAGCCUCUGCAAUCGGAGAGAUUGAGGUCUGCAGCGUAGAUCCUUCGGGGUUAGAUACAGUUUGUGCUAAGUUAUAGCUUUUCAUAGACAACUUGUUGACUAUGUUUAGUCUUGUAGCUUACUCGCUGAUGCUAUUUUACCUACGCUUAGGAUGUUGAUAGUCACAGCGUGUAC